UACGUAGGGUGCAAGCGUUGUCCGGAAUUAUUGGGCGUAAAGAGCUCGUAGGCGGUCUGUCGCGUCUGCUGUGAAAACUCGGGGCUUAACCCCGGGCCUGCAGUGGGUACGGGCAGACUAGAGUGCGGUAGGGGAGACUGGAAUUCCUGGUGUAGCGGUGAAAUGCGCAGAUAUCAGGAGGAACACCGGUGGCGAAGGCGCCACUCUGGGCCGAAACUGACGCUGAGGCGCGAAAGCGUGGGGAUCAAACAGG
rnacentral:rRNA from 1 species